rnacentral:lncRNA from 1 species
AAUAAUUCCAACUUUCAAUAGUAGGGGGUGUGAAGUCUCAGAAUUAUUAUAAGGUAAAAGUUGGAAAAAAAUUACAUGUUGAAAAGAAAUACUGAAUGGAAGGUAGUUUCUACUAGUUGUUAAAGCUGAGCAUAGAGUCAUCAAAUAACUGUUUACUCAAUGGCUUUCAAAAUGUUUUUUAUAAAAUCCCUACAGUUCAAAAAAUAUCUGUAAAAGUCUUUGUUUUAUCAAUUCUUAACCUAAGGGGCUAGUAUUUAUUUUUGUGUUUUUAAAAAUUAUGCAAUGGCAUUUAAAUAACACAUUGUGCUGAAAUACCUGCCUAGAAUAGAAAACAAAACUUGAGAAUUAGGAGAUGACCAAGCACUGUCUUGGACCUCAGCGUCAGGGUCCAAAGUGUCAGUCUGCACACACCUAGGAAGGCUGAGUGACUUAGGACCUGGGAAGUUUUCAUCUCAAUUUCCCGGUAAUUGGAGAGAAGCUCUGAGUAUACACCGCUGCCGUUCCAACAGCCAGGGACUGAAUGGGCCUCUCUGCUUGCAGCCCAUGCACGGGAGCACCUCCAGUGGCUACAGCAGCCUGGGCAGCAGCGGGUUGCAGGAGCAGGAGGUCAGCGUGGCCUCAUCCAGUGAGUCCAGCAGCCACUGUGCGGACAGCGCUUGCCAGGAGCUGGAGCCGAUGACCCUGCAGCAGGUCAAUGCCAGUGUAAGCAAAAUUAAGAAUCUGGGCCAGCAGCUGUACAUUGAGUCAAUGACCAAAUCUCCAGUCCAGCCGAAGACGAGCAUGCGCAGAGCCGCCAGGCAGUGGUGGUGUCUCCACAGCUGUCUUCUUCAUGUUGAGCUUCUGUGUGAAAUCCCUGAGCCUGAGGUGCAUAGACGGCAGAAAUUGGCAGUACCAUGUGGGGGAAGCCCGCACCUCUGCUUUGAAGACAGGGCCUUGGGCCUUGUGUCCGCCAGAAGGGAGGGCUGCCGUGUCCUCACAAACUGGCAGGACAGGCCAAAGGGAUCGGGUGAGCACAGGCCUUUUCUUCCUCUCAAACACUGAACAAUAAAAACACGUACAACAAGUCUUGUGAGGGUGUGAGGCGAGUACAACAAGUCUUGUGAGGGUGUGAGGCGAGACCAGCACAGCCCACCCUAUCAGCAGAUACACUGUAUCGAUAGAGUCAUCAGGUAGGAGACACAAGUUCUGAUGACAGUUCUUCCCAGGAGGGCACACUGUCCCUGUGGAGUCUCUGUGGAAUUUUAAAAAGCUGUUUGGUCUUGAUUUCGUACUGUAAAUGAGUAGACGUUUAGAGAGUACUCGCUGCAUGAAGCUUGCAAUAUACUGGCCACUGUGGAGGGUGCGGAAAAAUCACAAGAUGCACCCUUUAUCUGGGAAACUUGGAUAGCUGGGAAGACCUAACUAAGCUUAAAGUUACACGGUGUAAGAUGUGAGGAUCAGCUGAAGACCAUAGUAAAAGACAUGUUAGAGCCCAGUGGCCAGAGAGUCGGCGAACAAGGAAGGACAAAGCAUCCCAAACAGAAGAGGCGCGAGAGGCAGGGAGGUGCGAAGUUGCAUGGGAAGCGGGCAGGUACGAAGGCAUGGUCUGCUCUUGUGCAGAUAUCUGAAGAGCUGCAGUGUCCCAGCUUUAAAAAGAAAGUGCGUCUCGUGUACGAACACAACUUCAUGGUCAGAGGCAGCACUACAGUGUGGGCAGUGCCCAGGCUCUGCAGGGUGACAGCAGAGCCUUCCUAGUGAGAUGAGAACUCACCAUAACUCCAUCCCAUCCUGUUUCUCUUUAACUGUAAUCGCAGAACCCUACUUUGGGAUUACUUUUUAAGGGCCAGUAGGCUUUGUGAGAGAACAGCCUCUGUAAAUUGUGGCUGUGGUAUCAACUUGAACAUCCCCUCCCUGUUGGUGGUUCUCUUUUCACUUUUGUUUCUCCUGUGUCACCAGCCGUUGCACAGAUCCCAGCCACUCCUAGCCCAGAAGUGCCAGCAAACGUCCUGUCCGCAGAUGUCAAGGGCGGUGCCAUGCAGACCCAGUCCACCGCAGCACUGAGCUUGGGCUCGGACAUGACCCAGUGCAUCUGCACCAGCACCCCUGUCCACAUCCCUGCCCUGGAGUCAGGUACCUCCCUUACCUUCGCCUAGUCCUGAUGUGCGUAAAACACACAGAAUGGGUCACUCUUCUUUUUUGCUGCCUGCCUCCUGUCCGUCUGCCCUUUGACUCAUCAUAAUGAUCGGUAGGUGAAAUGUUGACAAAUCUGUCAAAAAAACUUGAGCUUUCAGUUUUCUCUGAUUCAUCUUUGCCAGUUGUGGGUGGCAGAUUGGCUCCUGUGUGUGGAGCAGUGACUGCGAGACAUUCUCUGUUUUCAGUCCUUGGCACUUACUAACUCGUUCAGUCCUCCCAAGAGCCAGCGAGAUGGGAAGGCCAGGAUGGCUGGGGAGGAGCCAAGUCGCAGCUAUGGGAGGUCAGGUUACUCUUAAAUAGCUAGAGAAGGAGCCUUAUCAGAGCUGAGCCAGGCCCUCAGGACAGGAGCAGGUGACACUUUCUAGAGCCCUUUCCUAGCACUUUGGGUUCCUGUGAGGGCAUGUGGUGCCGAUGAUCUGGCCCAUGCGAGAUAGGGAGCGUCCGACCAGUGUGGGAAACACUGUGUCUGUCUGUCUGCCUCUGUCCUGUGUCACUGUGUUUCAGUACUCUGGUCUUUUAUUACCAUUUUGAAAGAAUGUAUAUUAAAAUCUAAAUACUUUCAUUUAAGGAAAUACU